AAAUAGCUGCCUGUGCCUUUAAGAGAAAACGAUGAUGUUAUUUUGCAUGGUUGGAGUAGAAUGAAGAAUUGCCAUCUUCUAGAAAGGACGAUGUUCAAAUGCUUUCCCCAGGCUUGGUGCUGAAUGGCCCUAGCAUUUAUUUCAGAUUUCCAGCACCUGCUUUAAGAUGAUAUUUGAAGAUGUAUCUGCCUUUUAAUUCUUCCAGGAAGGUGGUGGCAUGCUCAGACAAAGCAGCUUCUACAGGACCAAUCAAAGGUGUUAUUGUCUUUUCUGAACUUUUUUUUAUGAUUGCACGACUUUGCUGGGCAUUAAGAAAUUAAAGGCUGCAGGCCUUUCCCAUCAGUGAGUUGCUUAUAGGCGAAGAAACUGGAGGAGCUGGACUUGGUGUGGACUGUGAUGCUGCCUGCAACAGAGAGGCAUCAGUGUACAAGGGAAGUUUGCAGUCUAACAGUGAGUGAUUUUCUUCAUCACUUUUCUUGUGAUCCUGUUGGAUAUUGGUGGGGUGGAAUGCUGGAAGUCCAAUUCAUUGGUUUAUUGACAAAUGGUGGGGGGCAGACAGUGGGGUAGCUGAUUGGCCUCAGUCAUAGUUAGUACUAGGCCUCAACCUGUGGUGUCACUCGGUUGCAGCCACCCAGUGUGAGAUGUUGAAGUAGGGUGCUCCACUGGAGCAUUGGAGGCGGCAUGGCACACUGUUCAUGCUUCAGUCAGUGCUGCUCCCCAGAAGACAAGUUCAAUUGUGCUGGCCUGCAGUUUGCUGCAAUUUUCAUAGACUUAGGGUCCUGGACUAUAUAUUGUUGUGUGAUUGUAUUUUACUGAUCUAUUAUGCUUGCUAUCUUAUAUGUGCUACGUGUGCUUUAUGCUGUGUAUGACUGUUGGUACUGUGUUUUGCACUUUGGCCCCAGAAUAACACUGUUUCGACUGGCUGUAUUUAUGGGUAUUCAUGUAUGGUUGAAUGGCAACUAAACUUGGAUUUGAACUUAAUCCCACGUGUUCUCUCCACUUCUCAUACACACCUGAAUUCUGUCAGAUCAUUUGAUAGUUUGAAGUGCUUUCUUCUCCAGUUCAUACAGACCCAAGAUCUCACUCAGUGGGCAAUGAGGUCAUUUGGACUGAUGACAUCCACACAUCAUUGUUCCAUGAAUUGUGUGUUGGCAGUCAUCGUCCGAACUAACACUGACUAUUAUAGCUGCAAAGCAUGAACAGUUCAGAUAAAAUCUCAUUGCAAUGUAAAUGAUUUAAGGUAUUUUUAUCUUGUGGAUCCUAAUUGCAGAUAUAAAAUAAUG